CCUACGGGAGGCAGCAGUGGGGAAUAUUGGACAAUGGGCGAAAGCCUGAUCCAGCAAUGCCGCGUGCAGGAUGAAGGCCUUCGGGUUGUAAACUGCUUUUGUACGGAACGAAAAAGCUUCUCCUAAUACGAGAGGCCCAUGACGGUACCGUAAGAAUAAGCACCGGCUAACUACGUGCCAGCAGCCGCGGUAAUACGUAGGGUGCGAGCGUUAAUCGGAAUUACUGGGCGUAAAGCGUGCGCAGGCGGUUAUGUAAGACAGAUGUGAAAUCCCCGGGCUCAACCUGGGAACUGCAUUUGUGACUGCAUGGCUAGAGUACGGUAGAGGGGGAUGGAAUUCCGCGUGUAGCAGUGAAAUGCGUAGAUAUGCGGAGGAACACUGAUGGCGAAGGCAAUCCCCUGGACCUGUACUGACGCUCAUGCACGAAAGCGUGGGGAGCAAACAGGAUUAGAUACCCUGGUAGUCCACGCCCUAAACGAUGUCAACUGGUUGUUGGGAAUUAGUUUUCUCAGUAACGAAGCUAACGCGUGAAGUUGACCGCCUGGGGAGUACGGCCNCAAGGUUG
rnacentral:rRNA from 1 species